GGAACCACCUCUGCUGACAACUGGAUCUGGAUCGCUAACCUCCAGAACCGUGAGAAAAGACAUUUGCCCUAUUCAAGGCCACUGAACUUGACUCCAUGAUCACCUUUAACAACAUGACCUCAGGAACACCACUGCCAGUUCUCGCACUAGAAGUGGACCGUCAUCUUGUUGGCCAUGCACAGACAGGCAUGCUACCUAACGGCAUUACAGACUCAAGUCGUUCGCACUGUUCAGACCCCACCUAAAAGUUCCUGUGAAGAGAGGAGUCCCCAGUCAUAUCUGCUUUCAAACAUGCCCACAUUUCUAAUGGGUACCUUCAUCUCAUGGGACUACUUUCCCUUCCUUGUACAAUAAAGUUGAUUUGCU